rnacentral:rRNA from 1 species
AGGGCGAACGCUGGCGGCGUGCUUAACACAUGCAAGUCACGGGGGCUCGCAAGAGCAACCGGCGAACGGGUGCGUAACACGUGAGCGACCUGCCGAUCAGAGGGGGAUAGCCGGCCCAACGGCCGGGUAAUACCGCAUACGCUCUUGCCUGGGCAUCUGGGGAAGAGGAAACCUCGGGGCUGAUCGAGGGGCUCGCGGCCUAUCAGCUAGUUGGUGUGGUCAUGGCACACCAAGGCGACGACGGGUAGC